rnacentral:rRNA from 1 species
AUUGAACGCUGGCGGCAGGCCUAACACAUGCAAGUCGAGCGGAUGAAGGGAGCUUGCUCCUGGAUUCAGCGGCGGACGGGUGAGUAAUGCCCAGGAAUCUGCCUGGUAGUGGGGGAUAACGUCCGUAAACGGGCGCUAAUACCGCAUACGUCCUGAGGGAGAAAGUGGGGGAUCUUCGGACCUCACGCUAUCAGAUGAGCCUAGGUCGGAUUAGCUAGUUGGUGGGGUAAAGGCCUACCAAGGCGACGAUCCGUAACUGGUCUGAGAGGGUGAUCAGUCACACUGGAACUGAGACACGGUCCAGACUCCUACGGGAGGCAGCAGUGGGGAAUAUUGGACAAUGGGCGAAAGCCUGAUGCAGCCACGCCGCGUGUGUGAAGAAGGUCUUCGGAUUGUAAAGCACUUUAAGUAGGGAAGAAGGGCAGUAAGUUAAUACCUUGCUGUUUUGACGUUACCAACAGAAUAAGCACCGGCUAACUUCGUG